GGGCGAGGGGCUGAGCCGCUGGGGACCUCGGGGAGGGAGGCUGCGGCCCGAUCUUUGUCCCUCAGCCGCGCCGGGGACGGAGCCCCCGACGCCCUUUGACCCCGCCCCGCGUUCAGGGAGAGUCCGUUUUCAGCUGUUUAUUUUAUUUGUAGCCAUUGGUAAACCUCAUUCGAAAGUUUCUUAAAAAAAAAAUCCCUUCUUAUUUGGGGGCCGGAAAAUAACUCAAAACUGCGGAGAAAAUUUGUGUGUGCGACUGUUCUGGGGCCAGAGAGGAUUGACUUCUUUGUGCGUCAGUUUUAUCGUCUGCAAAAUGGGAAUCAUGGUAGCACCUGUCUGAUGACGUUAUUACAAGGAGACACGGGGAAGAGACAGAGAGCGGGGUGAAGUGAGAAUCCUGCCUGCACCACAGGUCUGGACUGCUAACCUUGAAUCCUGGUAUCAUAAAUUCUGCCUCCGCUUCUGACUGAGGACCGCUGGAUUUUGAGGAAACUUUUGCUCUUAAUUCCCAUACUGAUUAGUCAACAGUGGAAAAUCUGAAGAGAUGCAAGCAGGAAAAAGAAAUUAAACCAGGCCUGAGGAGCAAUGCGACAGGCAUGAUGGAGGUCGAGUCCUCCUACUCAGACUUCAUCUCCUGUGACCGGACAGGCCGUCGGAAUGCGGUCCCUGACAUCCAGGGAGACUCGGAAGCUGUGAGCGUGAGGAAGCUGGCUGGAGACAUGGGCGAGCUGGCACUCGAGGGGGCAGAAGGACAGGCGGAGGGAAGCGCCCCAGACAAGGAAGCUGGCAACCAGCCCCAGAGCAGCGAUGGGACCACCUCAUCUUGAGUCUGACCUUGUCCAAGAAGGCUGGACGAGAGACCUUCUGUCCCCUCCCAGAGGGGGAACCCUGGCACUGGCCCAGCAGCCUCUUCUCUGAGCCCCAUGUCCCAGAUAAACCAGGCCAGACUGAGAAGGCUCCCCAGAGGCCUCUGUGGCCUCCACUCCGGGAAAGCCCUCUGCCCACACCCACAGGCUCCACAUUCCCACCACCUUCUCACCGUGCCCAGGUACACUUUCAAGACACUGUAACCACAAGAUGUUAUUUAUUGAGCUGGCGCCGGGACUUGGGCGGGGCCCUGCCCUGCAGUGAGCAGCCCACGCAGGAACGCUCCUCUUGCGAGCGGCCCGAGCAGGAACCCUGUCCCAACACCAACACCUCCUCUCCAGCCCAAUCUUCUGGGUCAAGACCUGCUUGUCCCUUUUUUAGAAAACACUUUUAAACUUUGUAAAAAUUUUAAACCUUUUUUCAGCAGAGACGGAGAGAGCUGACAAUCAAUUCACAUUUUUUAAGCCAUUUUAGCUAAACUCUCAUUGUGCACUCUGAGGUUCCCUCAUGGAGCUCCACAGAUCCAUUUUUAGGGAAGGGAUUUUGGCUCAAAAUGAUCUGACCACCUCUACCCUUUCCACCAGGAUAAGUGACACCUAGGACCCAGGAAAUAAAUGCUGAUGAUUUGUGUGA